UCUGGUUCAGAACGAACGCUGGUAGCGUGGAUUAGGCAUGCAAGUCGAACGGGAUCCGGAAGGCAGCAAUGUCGGCCGGUGAGAGUGGCGGAAGGGCGAGGAACACGUGGGCAACCUGGUCUUUGAGGUGGGGAAAACCUCGGGAAACUGAGGCUAAUACCGAAUGUGGCGCGGAAGGGCAUCCUUCCUGCGCUAAAGGGGGCGAAAGCUCCCCCUCUUCGAGGGGCUCGCGCACCAUCAGCUAGUUGGCGGGUAACGGCCCACCAAGGCUCACGGUUAGCUGGUCUGAGAGGAUGGCCAACCGCACUGGGACUGAGAUACUGCCCAGACUCCUACGGGAGGCUGCAGUCGAGGAUCAUUCGCAAUGGGCGAAAGCCUGACGAUGCGACGCUGCGUGGAGGAAUGAAGGCCUUCGGGUUGUAAACUCCUGUCAUGAGGGAAAAGGAGACCCUGCCCAAUACGCAGGGGAUUUGAUGGUACCUCAAGAGGAAGGGACGGCUAACUCUGUGCCAGCCGCUGC
rnacentral:rRNA from 1 species